rnacentral:rRNA from 1 species
CAGUCGCCGCGGGAAUACAGAGGGUGCAAGCGUUAAUCGGAAUUACUGGGCGUAAAGCGCGCGUAGGUGGUUUGUUAAGUUGGAUGUGAAAUCCCCGGGCUCAACCUGGGAACUGCAUCCAAAACUGGCAAGCUAGAGUAUGGUAGAGGGUGGUGGAAUUUCCUGUGUAGCGGUGAAAUGCGUAGAUAUAGGAAGGAACACCAGUGGCGAAGGCGACCACCUGGACUGAUACUGACACUGAGGUGCGAAAGCGUGGGGAGCAAACAGGAUUAGAUACCCCUGUAGUCCUGUCUCUUAUACA